rnacentral:rRNA from 1 species
AGCAGCCGCGGUAAUUCCAGCUCCAAUAGCGUAUAUUAAAGUUGCUGCAGUUAAAAAGCUCGUAGUUGAAUUUCGGGACUAAUAUGUCGGUCGUGCCUCGGUACGUACUGGUUUAUUGGUUUCUCCUUUCUGAAGAACCAUGAUGCCAUUUAUUUGGUGUCGUGGGGAAUCAGGACUGUUACUUUGAAAAAAUUAGAGUGUUUAGAGCAGGCUUUGGCUUGAAUACAUUAGCAUGGAAUAAUGAAAUAGGACGUUCGAACCUAUUUUGUUGGUUUCUAGGAUCAACGUAAUGAUUAAUAGGGAUAGUUGGGGGCAUUAGUAUUCAAUUGUCAGAGGUGAAAUUCUUGGAUUUAUUGAAGACUAACUACUGCGAAAGCAUUUGCCAAGGAUGUUUUCAUUAAUCAAGAACGAAAGUUAGGGGAUCGAAGACGAUCAGAUACCGUCGUAGUCUUAACCAUAAACU